rnacentral:rRNA from 1 species
CUAGGUGAGCUACUUCGAAACAGUUUUAUGAACGAACCCGUCUCUGUCGCAAAAGAGUGGGAUGAUUUCUAAGUAGAGGCGACAAACCUACCGCACCUGGAGAUAGCUGGUUACUCAAGAAAAGAAUUUAAGUUCAACCUAAAGUUUUUUAAUUACACAAAACAAAACAUAAGACUUUAGAGCUACUCAAGUAAGGCACAGCUUACUUGAAUAAGGAUACAACCUACAACACAG